rnacentral:rRNA from 1 species
UACGGGGGGAGCAAGCGUUGUUCGGAUUUACUGGGCGUAAAGGGCGCGUAGGCGGUCAGCACAAGUCAGUUGUGAAAUCUCCGGGCUUAACUCGGAAAGGUCAACUGAUACUGUGCGACUAGAGUGCAGAAGGGGCAACUGGAAUUCUCGGUGUAGCGGUGAAAUGCGUAGAGAUCGGGAGGAACACCGGCGGCGAAGGCGGCUGCCUGGACCAGUCCUGACGCUGAGGCGCGAAAGCUAGGGGAGCAAACAGG